CUUGAUAAAAUAUGAGAGGUCCAGCCUGCCCAGUGACCUAGUUCAACGGCCGCGGUAUCCUAACCGUGCGAAGGUAGCGUAAUCACUUGUUCUUUAAAUGAGGACUAGUAUGAAUGGCAUCACGAGGGUUAAACUGUCUCCUUUUUCUAAUCAGUGAAACUAAUCUCCCCGUGAAGAAGCGGGGAUUAUUUUAUAAGACGAGAAGACCCUAUGGAGCUUAAAACAAAUUUACACCUGCUUUAAUGUAUUACCCUCCCGAGGACUCACACAAAUUAUAGCAUAAUUGAUAAUUAGUUUUCGAUUGGGGUGAUCAUGGAGAAAAAACCAACCUCCACGACGAUAAGGGGGGCACCUCCUGAGCCAAAAGCCACAACUUUCAGCACUAAAAAAUUAACGCACUUUGACCCAAUUACUUGAGCAACGAAC
rnacentral:rRNA from 1 species